rnacentral:rRNA from 1 species
CCUACGGGUGGCAGCAGUCGAGAAUCAUUCACAAUGGGGGAAACUCUGAUGGUGCGACGCCGCGUGGGGGAAUGAAGGUCUUCGGAUUGUAAACCCCUGUCAUGUGGGAGCAAAAUAAAAAGAUAGUAUCACAAGAGGAAGAGACGGCUAACUCUGUGCAAGCAGCCGCGGUAAUACAGAGGUCUCAAGCGUUGUUCGGAAUCACUGGGCGUAAAGCGUGCGUAGGCUGUUUCGUAAGUCGUGUGUGAAAGGCGCGGGCUCAACCCGCGGACGGCACAUGAUACUGGGAGACUGGAGUAAUGGAGGGGGGACCGGAAUUCUCGGUGUAGCAGUGAAAUGCGUAGAUAUCGGGAGGAACACUCGUGGCGAAGGCGGGUUCCUGGACAUUAACUGACGCUGAGGCACGAAGGCCAGGGGAGCGAAAGGGAUUAGAUACCCUAGUAGUC